GAGGGGUAUCGGUCCACCUGGACUGAGACCGGUCAGACUCUUACGGUAAGCAGCAAGUGGGAAAUAAUUUGCACAAUGGCCGAAGCCUUGAUGCAAGCGACGCUCGCGUGAGGGAAUGACCGCCCUUUCGGAUGUAAACUUUCUUUCAGUAGGGAGAAAGCGAAAGUGACCGGUACCUGCAGAAAGAAGGCACCCGGCUAACUACGUGCCAGCAGCCCGCGGUAAUACGUAGGGUGCGGAGCGUUAUCCGGAAAUAUUGGGCGUAAAGAGCUCGUAGGCGGUUUGUCGCGUCUGUCGUGAAAGUCCGGGGCUUAACCCCCGGAUCUGCGGUGGGUACGGGGCAGACUAGAGUGCAGUAGGGGAGACUGGAAUUCCUGGUGUAGCGGUGGAAUGCGCAGAUAUCAGGAGGAACACCGAUGGCGAAGGCAGGUCUCUGGGCUGUAACUGACGCUGAGGAGCGAAAGCAUGGGGAGCGAACAGGAUUAGAUACCCUGGUAGUCCAUGCCGUAAACGUUGGGCACUAGGUGUGGGGACCAUUCCACGGUUUCCGCGCCGCAGCUAACGCAUUAAGUGCCCCGCCUGGGGAGUACGGCCGCAAGGCUAAAACUCAAAGGAAUUGACGGGGGCCCGCACAAGCGGCGGAGCAUGCGGAUUAAUUCGAUGCAACGCGAAGAACCUUACCAAGGCUUGACAUGUUCUCGAUCGCCGUAGAGAUACGGUUUCCCCUUUGGGGCGGGAUCACAGGUGGUGCAUGGUUGUCGUCAGCUCGUGUCGUGAGAUGUUGGGUUAAGUCCCGCAACGAGCGCAACCCUCGUUCCAUGUUGCCAGCACGUAAUGGUGGGGACUCAUGGGAGACUGCCGGGGUCAACUCGGAGGAAGGUGGGGACGACGUCAAAUCAUCAUGCCCCUUAUGUCUUGGGCUUCACGCAUGCUACAAUGGCCGGUACAAUGGGUUGCGAUACUGUGAGG
rnacentral:rRNA from 1 species